rnacentral:rRNA from 1 species
UAACACGUGAGUAACCUGCCCUUCACUCUGGGAUAACUCCGGGAAACCGGUGCUAAUACUGGAUACGACCUGAACAGGCAUCUGUAUUGGGUGGAAAGAUUUAUUGGUGGAGGAUGGACUCGCGGCCUAUCAGCUUGUUGGUGAGGCAAUGGCUCACCAAGGCGACGACGGGUAGCCGGCCUGAGAGGGCGAUCGGCCACACUGGGACUGAGACACGGCCCAG